GAAAACCCGUCCGGUAGCGUCUGACCAACGGCCGGAAGCGAGUCUUGCGUGGGGCGAGGGUAACCCGCACUGCGAAGCGUAGACAGCCAGUCCGAAAGCCAUGCUAUUGAGCGCCGAAAGGCCUUUCGCAGAAGCCCUUGCUGUACACAUACCAGGGGCCACGCUGCCGCACUGUACGGUCUGGUGCGAGCAGUCCCGCCGGCGUCGACUGAACA
rnacentral:ncRNA from 1 species